rnacentral:lncRNA from 1 species
CCGAUAUUUAUGACUAGGUUGCAAAGUUGAGACCUAGCUCAUAUGCUAAGGUGCUAGAACAUGCUUAGUUGGUCAAAGACCUUAUCUCGGUCAGACACCAACACAUCACCCGACUCCAUGCCCAACAACAACAGCACCAACCUCAACAACCCAGAAGAAGAUUUUUUGACCCAGUUAGUAGUCAUCCUGAUAAACGACCCCAAGUUGCCUCUCCCCCUACUUUGCCUCCACUUACUGGACAACUUGAUCGACCUUCCCAACCAUGCUAGCAUUGCGGUCGUUUGCAUGGUGAUUAGCCAUGUUGGGGUUUGAACAAUGCCUACUAUAAGUACAAAAGCACUCAGCACUUUAUGAAGGAUUUCCUUUAGCGGCCAAAAGACAUGGCCAGACUAGUAGCCUAGAGUCGUGUGUACCAUCUUGAUAAACUCGGUGCCCUCCUGUCCUUAUCCAUGGUAUGCUUUUUAUCCAUGAUAUUUUUGCCAGAGCUUUAAAUGAUACAGGUGCUACCCACUCUUUCAUUUCUUAUUUAUUU